rnacentral:rRNA from 1 species
UACGGAGGAUCCGAUCGUUAUCCGGAUUUAUUGGGUUUAAAGGGUGCGCAGGCGGGAGAUUAAGUCGGCGGUGAAAUUUUGCAGCUCAACUGUAAAAGUGCCUUCGAAACUGGUUUCCUUGAGUGUGGAUGAAGUAGGCGGAAUUUGUGGUGUAGCGGUGAAAUGCAUAGAUAUCACGAGGAACUCCGAUUGCGCAGGCAGCUUACUAAACCAUAACUGACGCUCAGGCACGAAGGCGUGGGGAUCAAACAGGAUUAGAUACCCUGGUA